rnacentral:tRNA from 1 species
GCCCGGGUGGCGGAAUUGGUAGACGCUGAGGACUUAAAAUCCUUUCCUAGUAAUAGGGUACGAGUUCAAUUCUCGUCCUGGGCACCA